rnacentral:rRNA from 1 species
CAUUGAAAUACUACCCGUCGGUGACUGCGACUCUCACUCCGGGAGGAGUACACCGGUAGCCGGGCAGUUUGACUGGGGCGGUACGCGCUCGAAAAGAUAUCGAGCGCGCCCGAAGAUCAUCUCAGCCGGGUCGGGAAUCCGGCGAAGAGCGCAAGAGCACAAGAUGGUCUGACAGUGUUCUUCCCAACGAGGAACGCUGACGCGAAAGCGUGGUCUAGCGAACCUACGAGGUUCCGGAAUGGGACCCGUAGAUGACAGAAAAGCUACCUUAGGGAUAACAGAGUCGUCACUCGCAAGAGCACAUAUCGACCGAGUGGCUUGCUACCUCGAUGUCGGUUCCCUCCAUCCUGCCCGUGCAGAAGCGGGCAAGGGUGAGGUUGUUCGCCUAUUAAAGGAGGUCGUGAGCUGGGUUUAGACCGUCGUGAGACAGGUCGGCUGCUAUCUAUUGGGGGNNNGCCACUGGUGUAUCGGUUGUCCGAGAGGGCAGAUGCCGAGUAGCCACGCGACACGGGGUAAGAGCUGAACGCAUCUAAGCUCGAAACCCACAUGGAAAAGAGGUACCACAGAGGUCACUCGUAGAAGACGAGUUCGAUAGACUCGGGGUGUACGCACCAAGGCAACGAGGUGUUAAGCCCACGAGCACUAACAGACC